AUAUAUCUCAACCUCACUUUGUUGAGUGCUUGGAUGUUGAGGGUUGCUGGGACUUGCAGGAUCCAGCUCCUUUAAAAUAUAUUAGAAGAACAAUUUGUGGACCUGUUCACUGGUGUGAUACAUUUAUCUGCACUAUUGAUGUGGUGAAACAAGUUCUAGUCUUUUGACAAAUUUUAUUAAU
rnacentral:misc_RNA from 1 species